AUUAAUAUGGCAGAAAUUAGUGCAAUAGAUUUAAAUUCUAUUUAUAAAUAAAUUUAUUUUAUUAAUA
rnacentral:tRNA from 1 species